rnacentral:rRNA from 1 species
UACGUAGGGUCCGAGCGUUGUCCGGAAUUAUUGGGCGUAAAGGGCUCGUAGGCGGUUUGUCGCGUCGGGAGUGAAAACCAGGUGCUUAACACCUGGCCUGCUUUCGAUACGGGCAGACUAGAGGCAUUCAGGGGAGAACGGAAUUCCUGGUGUAGCGGUGAAAUGCGCAGAUAUCAGGAGGAACACCGGUGGCGAAGGCGGUUCUCUGGGCCUUACCUGACGCUGAGGAGCGAAAGCGUGGGGAGCGAACAGG